ensembl:snRNA U6 U6 spliceosomal RNA
CAGCUCACUUCAGCAGCACAAACACUACAAUUGAAACUCUACAGAGAAGAUUAGCACGGCCCCUGUGUAAUAAUGACAUGCAAAUUUGUGAAGCAUUUCAUGUUUUU